GACAGAGGGUGCGAACGUUGCUCGGAAUUACUGGGCGUAAAGCGCGUGUAGGCGGCCGCGCGAGUCGGGUGUGAAAGCCCGGGGCUCAACCCCGGACGUGCAUCCGGUACUACGCGGCUGGAGGCCUGAAGAGGAGGGCGGAAUUCCCGGUGUAGAGGUGAAAUUCGUAGAUAUCGGGAGGAACACCAGUGGCGAAGGCGGCUCUCUGGGGCAGUUACUGACGCUGAGGAGCGAAAGCG
rnacentral:rRNA from 1 species